UGAAAUCAAUGCAACAAUUGUCAGGCCUCUUCCUUACGGAGUAAAACUUCAUGCCAUUAUAGAUGCUUGCCACAGCGGAACUGUUUUAGACCUCCCCUUCCUUUGUAGAAUGAGCAGGAGCGGGCAAUAUGUAUGGGAAGACCAUCGUCCCCGUUCUGGUGUCUGGAAAGGAACUAAUGGUGGUGAAGUUUUCUCUUUUAGUGGUUGUGAUGAUGAUCAAACUUCAGCUGAUACAUCUGCUCUUUCAAAA
rnacentral:misc_RNA from 1 species